rnacentral:RNase_P_RNA from 1 species
ACAGGCAGAAGGCAGCUGCUUCGACGUAUCGUCGGAGAGGAAAGUCCGGGCUCCAGAGGACAGCGUAAUGGGUAACGCCCAUCGUUGUGGUGCUUGCACUGCAAUAGGAUCCAUCCCGACGUUCCGACCGAACGAAAGUGAGCGUCGGAAGUCGGGAUCCCGACACCGAGCGAAAGCGAGGUCGUCGGGAGAGCCACAGAGACGAGUCCUUGAUUCGGUACUUCCUCGAGCGGGGGUAAAACCCCGAGCGAGCGACGCGAGUCGAGGGGUGAAACGCGGCAAUCUCUACGCGGAGCAAGGUCCAAUAGUCCCGGCCAUCCUACCCUAAAGGUAGGGAUAAAAGUGGUCCACUUUAAAUCCUUGGAAACAAGGAUGGACGGGAGGGUCGACUGCUAGAGCCCCUGUAGUAAUACAGGGGUCGAGAGAAAUGGCUGCUUUAGGUAGCGGUUAUUCGCAACCGAGACAGAACCCGGCUUAUUCUGCCUGUUCCU